rnacentral:rRNA from 1 species
UACAGAGGGUGCGAGCGUUGUCCGGAAUUACUGGGCGUAAAGGGCGCGUAGGCGGCCUGUUAAGUCGAACGUGAAAUCCCUGGGCUCAACCUGGGAAUUGCAGUCGAUACUGAUGAGCUCGAGUUCGGUAGAGGGUGACGGAAUUCCCGGUGUAGCGGUGAAAUGCGUAGAUAUCGGGAGGAACAUCGAUGGCGAAGGCAAUCACCUGGGCCUGAACUGACACUGUGACACGAAAGCGUGGGUAGCAAACAGG